UGUGACAUCCGCAGGUGCUGCCAUGGCCA
rnacentral:piRNA from 1 species